GCUGGUAUAGCACAGUGGUUAGUGCAUCUGCCUUGUAAGCAGAAGGCCGUCGGUUCGAAUCCGACUAUCAGCU
rfam:Ichthyophthirius multifiliis unplaced genomic scaffold scaff_1120509251178, whole genome shotgun sequence.